AAGGAAAGAAUUUGGACUAGAUAUUAGUAGUAUAUUUUUAAUCCCAAGAAUGUCAUGGUCUUAUAUGGAUACUUAGACUUAAGUGUUUCACGAAUUUAAGAUGAGUCUUGUAAGUUAAAAGUUCAGUCUUGAAUCAUGUAAUGGAGCAAUUAUCUC